UACAGAGGUCCCAAGCGUUGUUCGGAUUCAUUGGGCGUAAAGGGUGUGUAGGUGGCGCCGUAAGUCGGGUGUGAAAUCUCGGGGCUUAACUCCGAAACUGCAUUCGAUACUGCGGUGCUUGAGGACUGGAGAGGAGACUGGAAUUCAUGGUGUAGCAGUGAAAUGCGUAGAUAUUCGGAAGAACACCAGUGGCGAAGGCGGGUCUCUGGACAGUUCCUGACGCUGAGGCACGAAGGCCAGGGGAGCAAACGGG
rnacentral:rRNA from 1 species